CUGUUUACAUUUAAAAGCCUUUUACUAAUUUCAACUGUUCAUUUUCAAAUAUCUUCUACUCUACGCAACUUUUUUCACUAUCUACCUAGACCUUUUCCCUUUCUUUUGUAGUUGUGUUUCUAGGUCUGUUGAAACUUGAAAUCUUAACCCAUUUUUUAAGUGAAUUUGCAAUUUUCUCUAAUAUCUAUCGCUUCAUCAGUUCCUGUGCUCAGCCCAGCUUCAUCAGGCUCUGUUGUGGCUGAUUUUACAAGGUCGGCAAAAAUUAGAGGCUGGAAACGACAGGAAGAAGAAAGGACUCAUCGAGAACAAAGGAAAAAUGUGAACAGGAAGUAUUUGACCAUCUUUAUAUUUGGAUACCACUUCAAACAAUAAAAAUCAUAAAAACAGAGAAGUGGGAAAAGGCAACAGGAAACUCAAGCUUGGAGAAAUUGUUUUGGCUAUAAUAUAUGGUUAUUGAUCUUGAAAGUAAUGUAUUCAUAAGGGAUUUCCUCGGGGUUCAUUAGUAGCUUCAAUCAUCAUGACAGGAUAAAUGAGCCUGUACUCUCCUCUGCAAAAGGUACAAGACUGCUGGUGAAUUUGUAGUUGGAAAGACCAAUUAAGGCAUCAUAAAGUAAAGAUUGAUGACAAUGUUUGCAUUGUGAUGGUGACAGGCUGGUUCUUGAGGUGCUGAAAAGCAGCUGCUUUAAUGGCCAUUGUUCUUGCAAACGGAGGAGUAGGGAUCAUUUCAACUUUUAUCUCUCCUACAUCACCAUUAGUGAAAUAUCGAAGCAAGGGUCUCAAGUUAGAUUUUUUAACUUUUUAGAAUUAUAAGCUUGAUUGUUACAGUUAAAGAAUCAAAUACUGUAAUAAAAUCAUUUCCUAAACCUAUUUUCUACUGCACACCGUCAAACUUUCUUGACUUUGUUGGCCAUAUUA